CUUAACCCACACAGUCGUCCCAAAAAAGACAGAGCUUCCAGACAGCAACUCUGGCUUCCUUAAAAAAUGAUUCUCAUUUCUGAAAACGCGGAGUACCUACUAAGUGCCAGUGCCACUGCCAGCGCCGAAAGAUCCCUGGAAUUCCCACACAGCUCCUCCCUCCCAGAGCUCUCGGUGUAGCUAGGGAGGUAGGGAAGCGCUCCCGUGACUCAGCCCCGGCACGAUGUGGAAAUGAAGUUUAAACAAGGGGCACCUAAGAACAGAGAGAUUAAUUCUGCUUUGAGAGGAAACUAGGGCCAGAAGAGGGCAAACGCAAUGUCAAAUCAGUUUCAGAAGCAUCUGCCAUAUAUGACAUUUAGGAGUAAAGAGCCCUGCCUGAGCCUCCUCCCCGUGGAUUUUCCUGCUGUGUUCGCACUGUGUGCUGUGCUGCCAUGGGUGUUUCUCCCAUCGACCCGCUCAUCGCACCGCCCGUGAGUUGUCCUUCAUGGUCGCACUGCAGCCUCAGGAGCUUUACAAUGUCUGGGACACAGUAGAGGUCAAUGAAGUUCUGUUGAGCGGUGAGGGCAGGAAGAGGGAGCGUGGAACCAGGAAGCCCAAAGUUUUGCAGCCUCCGAAUGAAAGAAGACAAAUUCUGAGCUGCGGUGGAGAGGAUUGUUUAAAAGCAGAAAUGAGUUGGGGUGAGAGAGGAAGGUGGUGGAUGUCGAGAGAGACUGAUUUACCAUGUUCUGGGCACAGACAGAAUCUUGGCCCCCUCUCUCUGCAGCCGGAUCUCAGGGCUCGCUCGGCCUGAGAAUCUCAAUCGCUCAACCUCUCUCCUCCUCGCCCCCUCGCCCACCCCUCUCCCUCGCCAUCUCUCCCUUCUGUUGCUUCAGUGGUUUGCAUCGUCAUCUGCCAAACUCCUCAGAACCUGCUAUGCACUUCAGCCCCAGCUGUAUGUCUUCCUCUGCACUCCAGGAACUGCACAAAUAAACCGCUGAGAACAGAGCCCUCCUCACCACAAACAGCACGCGGGCUUCUGCUCAGCCUCUGUGGCCUUGGACCGGCUCCUGGGAAGGGCCCCUGCCUGGGGACAAGCACCGUCACAGCCACAGCCUGCCUCUCUCAAACACUCAGCCAUGGGGAGCCCCUGCCUCCCAGAUGAAGGGGCAGCUCGGUGGGAAACAGUCGGCUGUGCCCACAGCCACCCUCACCCUGGGCUAAGCCGGGUCCAAGGCAUACGGCUUCUCUCCCGGGGGACCAACCAUGCAACUCAGUGACCUUGAGAAAGUUAUUUUAGCCUCUGCAGACUUCCCUUUCCCUGUUUUUAAAUAGAUCAGAGAUUUAUGCCGUUUAAUUCACAAAGGAGCUGCAUGGAAAAAGGCUGAUUUGUUCUGAAGGACUUUGGCUUCCUGAGAGGAACCCAAGGUUCUAGGAAAGCUCCUUGAGCUGCUAGAUAC
rnacentral:lncRNA from 1 species